UGUGGAGUUGUGUGUAUUUGGAGGAGUGUGUGUGCGUGCGUGCGUGCAUGCGUGUGUGUGAGUGUGUAGAGGUCUGUGUGAACGCAACACAGACAUAACCUUCCUGUAUCCCCUCUAAAUGAGGACCUCCACGUCUAAGGAGAAGCGCUCUGAGAGGAUCCAUGGGCUCUGCUGCCCAUCUGGAACCGGGGGCUCUAGGCUAGCUCCUCUCUGGAACCGGGGGCUCUAGGCUAGCUCCUCUCUGGAACCGGGGGCUCUAGGCUAGCUCCUCUCUGGAACCGGAGGCUCUAGGCUAGCUCCUCUCUGGAACCGGGGGCUCUAGGCUAGCUCCUCUCUGGAACCGGGGGCCCUAGGCUAGCUCCUCUCUGGAACCGGGGGCCCUAGGCUAGCUCCUCUCUGGAACCGGGGGCCCUAGGCUAGCUCCUCUCUGGUGGAAUCCCUUCAAAUACUGAAGUUCUGUCAGGCUAUAUGCUUAAGUUCUGUUAGGAUAAUUACUGAAGUUCUUUCAGGCUAAAUAUUUUUGUUAUGUUAGGCUAAAUACUUAAGAUUUGUUAGACGAAAAACGUAAGUUCUGUUAGGCUUAACACUUAUGUUCUGAUAGGCUAAGUACUUAAGUUAUGUUAGGCUAAAUACUUAAGUUCUGUCAGGCUAAAUAUUUUAGUUAUGUUAGGCUAAAUACUUCAACCAAUUUUAAAAGAGAAGAGAGAAGAUCACGAAAUUUUGCAAGUAGUUGUAGCAGAAGUAGUAGUUUUGAUGCUGUGGAGAGAUUAACAGGUUGGUAGUUUGCAAGAUGAUGUAUACGGUAAACCUGAUGUUUCUUGCUGAUAUUAUAGAUUUUGUAGAAUUCUAGCAACAUGUGUAUUAUUACCAAGUAAUAUCAGUAUAUAUACAUGAUUUGUAAUGUCAGUACAUAUUCAUGAUUAGUAAUGUCAGUAGAUAAACACAAUUCGUAAUGUCAGUACAUAUACAUGAUUAGUAAUGUCAGUACAUGAAUAGUUUGUUUCUGCUCUGUUGAGUGAGUUUUAUGACCAAUAGAAAACACAUGUGCCCUAGAAGUGACUCCUUAGUCUACAGUAGAGUGAAGUGUGAAUAAAUAAAUCCCUGUUGAUGUGUUGGUGGCCUUCACUCUCUCCGGCACAUGUCCUCCCACGUUUCAACUGACACUUUGAUUCUCUCACUGAGGACAAUUCUUACUUGGUGGAAGAGUGUUACCUAGUAGACAGCUGGUGAACAGGUGUUACCUAGUGGACAGCUGGUGAACAGGUGUUACCUAGUGGACAGGUGUUACCUAGUAGACAGCUGGUGAACAGGUGUUACCUAGUGAACAGGUGUUACCUAGUAGACAGGUGUUACCUAGUGGACAGGUGUUACCUAGUGGACAGGUGUUACCUAGCGGGCAGCUGGUGAACAGGUGUUACCUAGUGGACAGGUGUUACCUAGUGGACAGGUGUUACCUGGUGGACAGGUGUUACCUAGUGGACAGGUGUUACCUAGUGGACAGGUGUUACCUAGUGAACAGGUGUUACCUAGUGGACAGGUGUUACCUAGUAGACAGGUGCUACCUAGUAGACAGGUGCUACCUAGUGAACAGCUGUUACCUGGUGAACAGGCCUUACCUGGGUAACAUCUGGACAGGUACAGUACAGGUCCAGAUAAUUAUUCAGUGUUCUGACAGGUCACCCUCUGUGUAGACUACCAGCCAGAAGCAGCUGAUCAUUUAAUUAACAUAGGAAGCCUAAUUAUCCCAGCGCUGAACAUUUUGCCAAAUUAUCUGUUGCACUCGUUCUGAAUAAGCGAUAUUCGUAACACAUUAGAAACCUUGGAAUGUAUUUAAAAGCAUGUCCCCCUCGCUGGAGGAGGAGCUAGCCUACAGUUACCCUCAAGUCAAUGGGAGCGGCUAACAGAAAGCUAACCCCACAAACCCCCCUUCUGGAUGUAC
ensembl:lncRNA